GAUGAACGCUAGCGGCAGGCCUCAUACAUGCAAGUCGAGGGGCAGCGGGACACUCCGGUGUUGCCGGCGACCGGCGGACGGGUGCGUAAUGCGCAUGCAAUCUACUUUACACUGGGGAAUAGCCUCCGGAAACGGGAAUUAAUACCCCAUAUAAUCUUAUUAGCGCAUGUUAAAAAGAUGAAAGCUCCGGCGGUGUAAAAUGAGCGUGCGUCCUAUUAGCUAGUUGGUGAGGUAAUGGCUCACCAAGGCUACGAUGGGUAGGGGUUCUUAGUGGAAGGUCCCCCACACUGGCACUGAGAUACGGGCCAGACUCCUACGGGAGGCAGCAGUAGGGAAUAUUGGUCAAUGGGCGCAAGCCUGAACCAGCCAUGCCGCGUGCAGGAUGAAGGCUCUCUGAGUUGUAAACUGCUUUUGUACAGGAGCAAAAAAGUCCCUGCGGGGAUUCUUGAGCGUACUGUUAAGAAUAAGCACCGGCUAAUUCCGUGCCAGCAGCCGCGGUAAUACGGGAGGUGCAAGCGUUAUCCGGUUUUAUUGGGUUUAAAGGGUGCGUAGGCGGCUUAUUAAGUCAGUUGUGAAAUCCUAGUGCUUAACGCUAGAACUGCGAUUGAUACUAUUAGGCUUGAGUUAAGAAGAGGUAAGCAGAAUUUAUGGUGUAGUAGUGAAAUGCUUAGAUAUCAUAAGGAAUACCAAUAGCGUAGGCAGCUUACUGGUCUUUAACUGACGCUGAGGCACGAAAGCGUGGGGAGCAAACAGGAUUAGAUACCCUGGUAGUCCACACCGUAAACGAUGAUCACUCGAUAUACAUGAUACAUCAUGUGUGUCUAAGCGAAAGCGUUAAGUGAUCCACCUGGGGAGUAUACUCGCAAGGGUGAAACUCAAAGGAAUUGACGGGGGUCCGCACAAGCGGUGGAGUAUGUGGUUUAAUUCGAUAAUACGCGAGGAACCUUACCUGGGCUAGAAUGUGUUUUGCUACCUUGAGAAAUUGAGGGUUCCUUCGGGACGGAAUACAAGGUGCUGCAUGGCUGUCGUCAGCUCGUGCCGUGAGGUGUUGGGUUAAGUCCUAUAACGAGCGAAACCCUUUACUUAAUUGCCAGCACGUAAUGGUGGGGACUUUAAGUAGACUGCCCGUGUAAGCGGGAGGAAGGAGAGGACGAGGUCAAGUCAUCAUGGCCUUUAUGCCCAGGGCUACACACGUACUACAAUGGCAUGUACAAAGGGAAGCUACUUGGCAACAAGAUGCAAAUCUCAAAAGCAUGUCUCAGUUCGGAUUGAGGUCUGCAAUUCGACCUCAUGAAGUUGGAAUCGCUAGUAAUCGCGUAUCAGCAAUGACGCGGUGAAUACGUUCUCGGACCUUGUACACACCGCCCAUCAAGCCAUGGGAGUUGGUAGAGCUUGAAGACAGUGGCCGUAAAAGGAGCUGUUUAGUGUUAGACCAGCGACUGGGGC
rnacentral:rRNA from 1 species